rnacentral:rRNA from 1 species
AGUGAACGCUGGCGGUAGGCCUAACACAUGCAAGUCGAACGGCAGCACAGGAGAGCUUGCUCUCUGGGUGGCGAGUGGCGGACGGGUGAGGAAUACAUCGGAAUCUACUCUGUCGUGGGGGAUAACGUAGGGAAACUUACGCUAAUACCGCAUACGACCUACGGGUGAAAGCAGGGGAUCUUCGGACCUUGCGCGAUUGAAUGAGCCGAUGUCGGAUUAGCUAGUUGGCGGGGUAAAGGCCCACCAAGGCGACGAUCCGUAGCUGGUCUGAGAGGAUGAUCAGCCACACUGGAACUGAGACACGGUCCAGACUCCUACGGGAGGCAGCAGUGGGGAAUAUUGGACAAUGGGCGCAAGCCUGAUCCAGCCAUACCGCGUGGGUGAAGAAGGCCUUCGGGUUGUAAAGCCCUUUUGUUGGGAAGGAAAUCCAGCUGGCUAAUACCCGGUUGGGAUGACGGUACCUCCAGAAGAAGCCCCGGCUAACUUCGUGCCAGCCGCCGCAGUAA